rnacentral:rRNA from 1 species
CGCCUCUUGCUAAAAUAAUAAAUAAGAGGUCCCGCCUGCCCUGUGAUUAUAUAUUUAACGGCCGCGGUAUUUUGACCGUGCGAAGGUAGCGCAAUCAUUUGUCUUUUAAAUGAAGACCUGUAUGAAUGGCAACACGAGGGCUUAGCUGUCUCCCCCUCCCAGUCAAUGAAAUUGAUUUCCCCGUGCAGAAGCGGGGAUAAAAACAUAAGACGAGAAGACCCUAUGGAGCUUAAGACGCCAGAACAGCUCAUGUUAAACACUCCAAAACAAAGGAAAUAAACUGAAUGAACCCCCUGCUCUAGUGUCUUUGGUUGGGGCGACCACGGGAAAAAACUUAACCCCCAUGUGGAAUAGGAAUACUAUUUUCCUAGACUCAAGAGCUCCCGCUCUAAUAAACAGAACUUUCUGACCAAAAGGAUCCGGCAAUGCCGAUCAACGGACCGAGUUACCCUAGGGAUAACAGCGCAAUCCUCUUAAAGAGUCCCUAUCGACAAGAGGGUUUACGACCUCGAUGUUGGAUCAGGACAUCCUAAUGGUGCAGCCGCUAUUAAGGG